GGUGGGAUUCCUGAGUGGUUAAAGGGAGCAGACUGUAAAUUUGCCGUCAAAAGACUUCGAAGGUUCGAAUCCUUCUCCCACCA
rnacentral:tRNA from 2 species